rnacentral:rRNA from 1 species
AGAGUUUGAUCCUGGCUCAGGACGAACGCUGGCGGCGCGCCUAACACAUGCAAGUCGAACGAGCGAGAGAGAGCUUGCUUUCUCGAGCGAGUGGCGAACGGGUGAGUAACGCGUGAGGAACCUGCCUCAAAGAGGGGGACAACAGUUGGAAACGACUGCUAAUACCGCAUAAGCCCACGGCUCGGCAUCGAGCAGAGGGAAAAGGAGCAAUCCGCUUUGAGAUGGCCUCGCGUCCGAUUAGCUAGUUGGUGAGGUAAUGGCCCACCAAGGCGACGAUCGGUAGCCGGACUGAGAGGUUGAACGGCCACAUUGGGACUGAGACACGGCCCAGACUCCUACGGGAGGCAGCAGUGGGGAAUAUUGCACAAUGGGGGAAACCCUGAUGCAGCGACGCCGCGUGGAGGAAGAAGGUCUUCGGAUUGUAAACUCCUGUUGUUGGGGAAGAUAAUGACGGUACUCAACAAGGAAGUGACGGCUAACUACGUGCCAGCAGCCGCGGUAAAACGUAGGUCACAAGCGUUGUCCGGAAUUACUGGGUGUAAAGGGAGCGCAGGCGGGAAGACAAGUUGGAAGUGAAAUCUAUGGGCUCAACCCAUAAACUGCUUUCAAAACUGUUUUUCUUGAGUAGUGCAGAGGUAGGCGGAAUUCCCGGUGUAGCGGUGGAAUGCGUAGAUAUCGGGAGGAACACCAGUGGCGAAGGCGGCCUACUGGGCACCAACUGACGCUGAGGCUCGAAAGUGUGGGUAGCAAACAGGAUUAGAUACCCUGGUAGUCCACACCGUAAACGAUGAUUACUAGGUGUUGGAGGAUUGACCCCUUCAGUGCCGCAGUUAACACAAUAAGUAAUCCACCUGGGGAGUACGACCGCAAGGUUGAAACUCAAAGGAAUUGACGGGGGCCCGCACAAGCAGUGGAGUAUGUGGUUUAAUUCGA